GCCUACUUAACGGAAUACCUAGAAAAUAACUAUAUUAGACGGGGCUAACGGGGGAACGAUAAGGAAGGAUAUUGUGGUGUCAUGAAAGCUGAAGGAUUUGACAUGGUCAGCGGUACCUGAGGCUCUAGCGUCCAGUGUGAAGCAGGUCAUCCAAGCUUGCUGCUGUCAGGAAACGCAGCUGAGGCCAACUUUCCCAGCCAUUUUGUCAAGUAUUCAAGAGCUGCCCAGUACACUGCGGAAUAACGUUGAUAUAGGUGACGCACCAAGUAUGUGUUCUAGUCCGACGAGCGUGCAGACCGAGUGCAAGUUGCAAAUUGCGAAGACCGUGCCCAU